GGUCUUGAAUUCCUGGCCUCAAGGGAUCCUCCUGCUUUGUCCUCCCAAAGUAUGGGAUUACAGGUGUGAGUCACAGUACCCAGCCUUUUUCUAACAAUUUCUUUCAGGGUGAUAUGUUAACAGGAUAUAGGAAAAAGGCUUCACUGUGCAAGACCUCUAAAUACCAAAACAGAGUCGAAACUGUGAAAUCUAUUUCAAUGCAUGAGAGCUCCUGUCGCUCCACAUCCUCAGCAGCACGUGGUGUUCGGUGUUCUGGAUUUUAGACAUUCUAAUAGGACUCAUUAGUUCUAACAGAUUUGUUUGUCAAUUCCUCAAGAUUUUCUACAUCUAAAAUCAUGUCAUCUGCAAAAAGAGAAUCAAGGGAAACCGCUUUUCAACAUCCACAUCUAAAGAGAUGACAAGAAUAAUUUCUCAUGUAUCCUAUUUUUUAAUUUUAGAAGCAAUCAUUUCAAAGUUUAACUCUAAGAAUCUCUAGUAAAACUGGCUUAGUCUACAUACAAAUAAAUGUGGGAUAAUAAACAUAUACAAUAGAAAAUUUUAAUGCAGUCAUAAAAAUAGGUGCUUGCCUGUGAAUAGUGCCUAGGAUAGCUGAACAGAUGGGAAGCAGAUGGGAAACCCCAAAGGGGCAAAAUGA
rnacentral:lncRNA from 1 species